rnacentral:rRNA from 1 species
UACGGAGGGUGCGAGCGUUGUCCGGAAUCAUUGGGCGUAAAGGCGCGUAGGCGGCCCUGGCAGUCGAUGGUGAAAGCCCGUGGCUCAACUGCGGGUCGGCCACCGAUACUCCAGGGCUCGAGUUUGGUAGAGGCAGAUGGAAUUCCGGGUGUAGCGGUGGAAUGCGUAGAGAUCCGGAAGAACACCGGUGGCGAAGGCGGCUG